GACGUCCAUACCUCAGAAGCAUCUUCUUGAAACCCAUCUCAAUUCUCUCCUCUUGACAACAUGUGUUGCAACUACUACGGCAACUCCUGUGGCUAUGGCUCCAGCUAUGGCUGUGGCUAUGGCUCUGGUUAUGGCUGUGGCUAUGGCUCCAGCUAUGGCUGUGGCUAUGGCUCUGGUUAUGGCUGUGGCUACGGCUCCAGCUAUGGCUGUGGCUAUGGAACUGGCUACAGCUGUGGCUAUGGCUCUGGCUCUGGCUGUGGCUAUGGAACUGGCUACGGCUGUGGUUAUGGAACUGGCUAUGGCUGUGGAUGUGGCUCUGGCUCUGGCUACUGUGGCUACCGGCCAUUUUGCUUUAGAAGAUGCUAUUCUUCCUGCUAAAACAUCACUGUCAGAGGACCAUUUGCUUCUAAAAUGACACAUCUAAAGAUCAUACUGAUUCCAGGAUUCAUACUCCAAGAUUUCCAUAUCCAAGAAUUACAUGCUUGACAGAGUCUUGGACCUCUAGCCUCACAUUUCUUUGAAUGAAAUCAUGGCCAUAGGAUCCACGGUGUCAUCUGACUGUUUUCCAAAUGUUAUCUUUUGCUCCCUUAAUCUCUGAUUCUCUGUUAUGACUGUGUUAAUGAUCAUAACAUCUACAAUUGGGGAAGUCAAUCAUUUGUAAUAAAAAUGGUUCUUUAUUCCAAAAAAAAUAGUUUUAGUACAAAAGAGUCAAAAAGCUAAAAUAAAAUAUAGUUUAUAAAGCAAAACAUUAUCAGUAAGCUAAGUUUAAUGUAUUAUUGAAGAAAUAAAAUGUAUUUUAUACAUUUACCCUAAUGCCUAAUGUUUAAGACAUCUACUGUAGUGUACAGUAAUAUCCCAGGCCUUCACAUUCACUCACUAAUCACUCACUGAUCCACCCAGAACAACUUUCAGCCCUGUAAGUGCCAUUCGUGCUAAGUGGUCUAUAUAGGUACUGUUUUAUUAUUAUUAUUAUUAUUUUAUACUGUGUUUUUACUGUAUCUUUUCUAGAUUUCAAUAAGUUGAGAUACACAAAUAUUUAUUAUUGUGUUACAAUUGCCUAUAUUAUCCAAUAUGGUAACAUGCUGUGCAGGUUUGUAUUCUAGAAGCAAUAGACUAUACCUUAUAACCUAGGUGUGUUCUAAGCUAUAUCAUACAGGUUUAUGUAAGUACACUGUGAAAUCUGCAUGGCAAACAUCAUUGCCUUAUGAUACAUUUCUCAAAUUUUCAGAACAUAUCCCUGUUGUUUAGCAGCACGUGAAUGUAGUUGAUUUAUUGUCUUGAUGUCCCUUUGCUUUCCCCAUGUGUUACCAUCAACUGCCUAAUGAAACAGCCUGGGAUUGUGUAAUGACUAA
rnacentral:lncRNA from 1 species